UGCACCUCUCCUAGACCCCAUUUAAGGGCUGACUGCUAACAGGGAAGGUUCUCUCUUUGCAGAUCCCUCUUCUGUGGAGCCUUUCCUGCAAACCUAGAUCUUUGGAUAGAGUUUGCUCCACUAUAGGCUUGCGCUGGGUCUGCUCUUCAGCUUGCUUUUCUGCUUCAUGAGCUACAUCCCUACAUCCUUGAGCUGUGUGUAAACGUGGACUGGAAGUGUCUGAAGGCUCAAGAUGGAUAGUGCAGGAAGCUGCAUAGUAUAUGAGAUCUCAAGGUUUGCAAAAGAAGGUCAUGACAACAUCAAAGAUAUUUGGAGUUUAUUCAAAUGUCAUCGAAUGCAAGAUUUGUCACCUUUAUGUUCUACAAAGUGACUUCUGAAGUACUGUAGAGGAUUGCACGUAUGAGAAUUGCCUUGUGAAUAAAAUAAUACAGCACACAAAAAACCCUCACAGAAAUAUUGCAAAUAAUUUAUGUAAAGUUGUUACUUACAGACUUUAUGUAGUUUUUUUUUAAUAUGGCAUAGAAUUCUUGAUUAAAUAUUGUUACUUUCUAAGACAUUAAGCUCUUGAAAUAUAAAUUAAAAUAAUCUUUCCCCAUGUUGGACACACUUGAUUCCAGCUGACUUCAAUGACCCCACCUUAGGGCAUGGCUGGGCCUUGUAGCCAAGAUGCAAGCGCCUUGGGAAAAAUGCACUUAAGAAAGGGUAAAAAUGCUUCACAGAUAGGGAAGAAGGGAAGAGAAAGUGAGAAACAGAGCAAGCAACAAGGUCAUAGAAGAAGGGAGAAAAUAUUGUUUUAAUAUUUUUAUUUGUUUCUAAUACCCUAAUCUUGUCAAUAAAUUUUGUCCAAAUUCAGACAGUUUUAUCCACAAUAGUAACUUGUAAACUCUCCAUGUCUUCUCUUAAACUAUGUGAGUUUAAUGCUAUUUUCUCCCCACUGUUCUGCUGAUAAUAAGAAGUGGGUGAGCAGCUGGGUGGGCUAAGCUAUUGUUAGUGUCAGUGUUUCUAGAUACCAAGUAGGGUAAGGAGAAGUUAACUUCACCUGAGAUUAUGUAUUAUGUAAUAGAUGUAAAGCCUGACUUUACAUAGUCUUCCUAUACAGUCAAAAAAAAAAAAAAAAAAAAAGGACAGAAAAUCAACCCUGCAGCUGCUCUUAUUGCUCUGUUGAACAGACCAGAUCAGGCUUACAUGCACUUAAGUAUGGCAUGCAGGCAAUGUUCCACCUAUAGCUUUGUUUUAGUCUGCACAACUUAUCUUGUCCAAGAGGAUUUGGCACAUGUUCUGGUCUUGAGUCAUUGCAGCUGGUGCAUCUGCCCCAGAUGAAGACUUAAAUCCUAACAGAUAAAUUGUGUUAGAGUUGGAGACCAUAUGCUUCUAAUCUCUGUGCUACAAGGGAGGACUUGGUGAACUGCAUUAGGGUCCUGGGUCUGGGGAAAUUUGUCCAGAGUCCAGAGCAGACUCUUUGAGAGUCUUAGCUCAGAUUUUCUGGGGAUUUGCCGAUCUGAGAGUGUUUCUGUCAAAGCAGUUCCUACAGCUUUAGUGAAUGACAUUCAUAUAAAAAGGGAGUGAAAUGGUUUCACAUCCUCUGAAGUAUUAAAGUAUCUUCCAGACAUUCAGGCUGCUUGUCAUUUUUUUUCCCUGCAGUAUAUGCCUACAACUGCCAAAAAAAAUCUUUUUCAACAGAAGUCUGCACAGAAACAAAGUACAGAAUUGUAAGGCCUCAAUGUAACAAAAAGUAUUUGACAGUAAUAAAGACUCAGGAGUAAAUAGAAUUGUUAGCAAUAGAUUAAUUUAUUUAGCAUAUAUUUAUAUUAAUUUAUUUAUAAUUGAGCUUUCUAUUCAGCAACUUUCAGCAAUCUUUCUUAUCACUUGCAAAUGUGCUUGACAGUUAGUUAACUACAAUUUUACUACAGUGAAAACCCAACUGGUUCAUGGACCAAGACAUGUACUUUUUCAAUUAUAGCUGUUAUGCAAGUUAAUUUCUACUAUCUUAUUGUGAUGAUAGGUGAAAUAAGAUCUGUAAACAUUCUGUAUCAGAAUAGCAUACAAAAAACAGGGCAUUUUUGUAAGGGACUAAAGGCUAAUUCAAACCUGCCGACUGAGAGAUGCUGACAGUUAGUAUUUAACACAGGGAUUUCUGGAUUAUUUCCUUAUUUUUUUUUUUUAUGCUUGUCAAGUCAUUUCUUCCUAUGCAAAGCAUUCCAGCACACAUAUGCUCUGAUUCAGAAGGGCAAAGCCAGUUUGCAUACUAGAGUGGUUCUUGCCCUGUGUACCUUUAAUUUUUUAAUGCAAGCCUUCUAAUACUACUUUUUAAAAGCCAAACUCACCAUUUUUUUUCCUCCCCUACCAUGCACAUUGUAGAAUAAAAUGGAAAGUCGAAGUAGCCUCAGAUGGGGCUGCACUUCACUUCCCUUGGUCGGCUCAUGUAAGUCACUUUAUUGUGUGAGGCAAGAUAUUCUCAUUGAAAACCGAUCUCCUCGUUCUGAUUCUCUGUGAAAUCUCAGUGUGAUUUUGUUUGUUAAUUUAGUUGCAUUAGCUGUUCUGCUGGGUGCUUCCCAAACAUGAAAAAAUAUUCUGUAGUCUGUUCCAUGAAGUUCUGUGAUCAGUUCUUGCUAUGAGGGACAUGAAGGAUACUCCAAUCUUUGCUGAAUGUAUGGAGAACUGAGUUUACUUUAUAAAGAUUACAUCAAAAGGCAACUGAAAUUCAAAUUCUAUAUUAGGGGAAGUGGGUAUUACCCUUAGUACUUGGUUUCUAAAAUCUUCACAUUAGUAUCUCAGUCUUUCAUAUUUACACAGCAGUUUGUCUGCUGGUGAUUUGAAUACAGCUGAAGUUGUAGGUCUUCAAACAUUGGUGUUUAUUGCUUUUUUUUAGGUUUUCUUUUUAAAUCUUAAAUUAAAGGACAAGCAUUGAAUUAAAACGUAUCUCAAACUUAAGGCAGCAAGUCGUAAGUUUGCGAGGUCAGAGGAUUUCUGGAAAACAAGUCAUGUUAUUUUCCUGAAUGUUCUUUGUUUUGGAAUUCUUAGAAUAUCAUACCUUUGAUAGUAUUUAGACAGAGAUAUAUUGCAUAAAUAUUUUUUUGUUUUGAUUAUAUUCAGUAGCACAAGAAAGUCAGUAAUGCUGAACUAGUAUUGAAAUUAUAAGCAAAGAAAAUCUUAGGUUAUUGAACUAUUUGAUUUAUAGUUUAGUAGUACAGAACAUCAUACCUAUACAGCAGUUGCCAUGGGAAAAAUGUGAAUAUUGAUAUAAAAAUUGAGUUAUUCAUUAGUUUGUCUACUAUACAAUAGUGUUAAUCAUAUGAUGGAACUUUUAGAUGAAAUACUACUGUGCAAAAUAGAGGAAAAACUAAGAAAGACCAGAAAAGAUUAUUUUUCAUUGACUUUCUCUGCUGAUACUUGGACAUCCAUACAAUUUCUAACUUGGCCAGUCAAAUCCACUGAAGUAAUAGAAACCUUUACAUUGGACUCAGUUAUUUUUUGGCUCAUGGUAAGUCAUUAGCCUGGACUGUGCCCAUUGUGUGUACGCAACUAGACAAAAUGCAGAUUUUUUUAUGCCAAACUUUUGCUAAGAUUUAAGUGUAUACUUCACUGCUUUCCUAACAAAGAAGGUCUUGCUGUUAGUGAUUUUUCUCUGACAAAUCCUAUGACCCUUUGGUAUUAUCUGUCUUUGAUAGUUUUAAUGUUUAGGAGUUGGUUGGUUGGAAAUCUCAAUUUUGAGUCUUACAGAGAAAACUGCUGUAACAUCUAACUCCUUAUGUACUAAGAUGAUUUCUA